rnacentral:rRNA from 1 species
CUACGGGUUGCUGCAGUGGGGAAUAUUGCACAAUGGGGGAAACCCUGAUGCAGCAACGCCGCGUGGAGGAUGACACAUUUCGGUGCGUGAACUCCUUUUAUAGGUCAAGAUAAUGACGGUAGCCUAUGAAUAAGCGCCGGCUAACUCCGUGCCAGCAGCCGCGGUAAUACGGAGGGCGCAAGCGUUACUCGGAAUCACUGGGCGUAAAGAGCAUGUAGGCGGGUUAAUAAGUCAGAAGUGAAAUCCAAUAGCUCAACUAUUGAACUGCUUUUGAAACUGUUAACCUAGAGUGUGGGAGAGGUAGAUGGAAUUUCUGGUGUAGGGGUAAAAUCCGUAGAGAUCAGAAGGAAUACCGAUUGCGAAGGCGAUCUACUGGAACAUUACUGACGCUGAGAUGCGAAAGCGUGGGGAGCAAACAGGAUUAGAUACCCCCGUAGUC